rnacentral:lncRNA from 1 species
GUGACGAGUAAUAAAUAAAGGCAUACACUACAACUAUCGUCGUAUCAUGUCGUUUCUAACAUUACAUAUUGUCUUUUUGCGAUGUCAAACUGCAGCAUAUCAUGAAAAGAUGUUUUGUUCGUGGUAUAUUAGUCAUAAGCUUGAAAACGAGUAAAUCUGUUGGGUUUUUUUUUGUAAAAAAAAAGACAUUUGACUUGAUGCUAAAUUGAUACUAUUUGUUCCAAUUUAAUGGUAAAGUCACCACUGAUUUUAUUUAUAAAUUGAAUGAAUGUAUAGCAUAAAAGCCGUUUAUUUUUUUUAAAUCAUGAAUUUUUAAUAAAAAUAAUUCAUUUAUAAAUAAGUGUAAUGACGACGUCUCCUCUGCAAAAAAAAAAAAUCUAUGUGUUUAUAUCUGCUUGCUGACGUCACAAUCACACGAUUCAGUUCAGUGCGUGCAUCCUAAAAUACAAUAGGGGUUUUGCCCUGUUGGAAGCGAAUUAAAAUGUGUACGUAGAUUUAAAACAAAAGAUACAUGCAGAUCAGGUUCGAUUUGCUUAAAAUACAAAAUUUAAUACAGUGCACACGCAAUAGUAUCAUUCAGUAGAUAAGACAAAUUCCGGGAAGCUCUAUAAAAUAAGAGAACAUUUAUAAAGGAAGAUGUAAGGAUAUUUUUUGUAGGUGUGUUAAAUCCUAAUGUUCCUACACAUAUCAUAAUUUGAAUAUAAACAAACAUGUUGCAUGGACCAAUUUUCGCGUGUUAAUGAAGACAUUUUUUCAACGCAGGCUUGAAAAUGGGAUCGUUUCUAUUAGUGAUAUAUUGAAGAUGCAAAAACAGGGGUUGCAAAGAUGAACAUAUAAACCUUAAUUUACAGUGUCUUAUUUAGUGACGGCUGAUUCUUGUAAAAAAUGUUGCAAUGUAAAAUUCGAUGUAAAUGUAAAUAAAACUGUUCUGUAAAGUCAUUGUCUGGUUUUCUAGUCGUUUGGUUUUCGUAAAAUCAUAAUAUGAACGGGUAAUAUUAGCAAGAUUAAAUAUUCAGAUGUAAAUAUGGAUAUAGUAUAUGACAGAUCAGUGGAAUUUGCCUGUUUUUUCUGUCACUAAUGCUUUCCGUUGUAUGUAUAGAAUAGAGGCCACUUAAUGUAAAAAAAUAUAUAAAUAAUUCGGUUGUUACAAAAAAUGAAGAUGAAAUAUUAUACGGUAUGAUUUGAUCAAAUAAAACAAAUGAAAAAUACCCAAAUUUUUU